UCCAUCGUGGUGCAGUGGUAGCACGCCAGACCAUACACGUUGGUGCGCCGCAUCGCUUACGAGCAUGCCGCGUCGGUUCUUGAUCCGUCAAUGUCUCGCAUAUUGACCGUGAUCGGGAUAAGUAAGAUGCGAGUAGCGCAGAACGGAAUCAUGUCAGUCUGGAGGCCCGAGUUCGACUCUCGGCGACGGAA